ACAGAGAGUAUACCGCCGAUGGCCGCUUGCGGCACAGGUAAGGGUGAAAGGGUGCGGUAAGAGCGCACCGCGUGGCUGGUAACAGUUCACGGCACGGUAAACUCCACCCGGAGCAAGGUCAAAUAGGGGUUCUUUGGCGCGGCCCGCGUUGAACCCGGGUAGACUGCUUGACGAUCAUGGCAACGUGAUCGCUAGAUGAAUGAUUGUCCACGACAGAACCCGGCUUAUCGGCGGGCUUCCCUC
rnacentral:RNase_P_RNA from 1 species